GCCUUGGCGGAACCCUCUGCCCCGUCCCGCCGCCCUUAUGCCUUCCUCUCUGUGCCCCUACUCGAGGGUGCCCAUGGACGAGAGGAAAGGUUCCACAAUGUCACCCAGCACCUGCGGGACCAGCUGACCCGAGCCCAGGAGGCCCUGCAGGACGCCUACGCCACCUGCAAAAGCACCGUGGAAAACCUGAAUGCGUCCCUGAGCGAGGCGAAAACUCAGGAGCAGAAGCAACGCGAGCAAGUGCAGGCCCAGAAGGGUGAGGAGGGCACCCGCAGGGGCGCGCCGCGGCGCUGGUGGGGUCCGGAAGCUGCCGGCCGCCCGGGGGCGUGGCCGUGUCGGGUAGGGCGACGGCGCUCUGUGUCCCCAGAUGAGAUCGCGGAUUUGAAGCAGAAGCUGCAGGAGACUCGGCAGACGGUGCAGCAGCUCAGGUCAGCCCCGCCCCUCGCCCCGCCCCUUCCCGGGACCCGGGACCCCCGCCGGAACAUCCACGCUGCCCCCGGUACACCCGAGUCCCAGGGCGGGCAGGAGGCCGGCCUGGCCCGCAGCUGCCUGAUUGUCCCCGUCUUCGCUCCAGGAAUGAGAUCUCCGCCACCCGCCAAAGGAGUCCCAAAAGCGCGGCCGUCUCCGUCGGCGCGGUGCCCGCGGCGCUUCUGCUCCCGGUCCUCGCUGCGCUGCGGCCCUGACGUCCCCGGAGCCCGCCGGUGGCAGCCUGCGCUGAUCUGGUUCCAGGUCCUUUCGGCUUUCCUGUCCGCUGACCCAAGCACCCCAGCUCAGGCCCUGCGAAGUCCCAGUCGCCGCCGCCGCUGCCCCCACCGCAGGGGCCGGGUCCUGCUCUGAGGAAGGAACAGUGGGUUUGACGGUGGGACUCGUCCACCCCAAGCCUCCAAAGGGUGCGCUAUCUGCACGCGGCUCUUCUCCUAACGACCCCCUUCUUCUCAGCCCCCAGACCCCAAAGCUGAGCCCCACCCCAGGGUGAAGGAGAGGUGGAGGCCGGCGUGGUGGUGCAUGCCUGCGAUCCCAGCCUUCGGGAGGCUGAGGCAGGAGGCUCGCCUCGCACUGCCUCGGUCGGCCUCGGCACACUGGGUGAACGAACAGGUGCUCACCCAGUGUGCCGGGAGGCAGGGGGUGUCUGUCGGGAAGGUGAGGUGACAGGAGGGGGUGGGGAGCGGCGGGGAGGGGGCUGAGCCCUGAGGUUUCAGUCGCCUGGGGAGGAGCGGGCUGGAGCCAAGGCCUGGGGCGGGAAGACCGGGGCGGGGAGGGAAG
rnacentral:lncRNA from 1 species